AGGCAGCCACGGGGGCCACAGGUGGACAACUGACUCAAACCAACACAUCCCGCUUAAGCUAACGCAGCUAACAACCACUUAGCAUGUGUGUCGGUGUAAACUCACUCUAAACUCAGAUGAAUAACUUAACGUUUACAUCACUAAGCGACUCCUAAAAGCCAUGCUGCUCCUCUUCCAUGGGGAGGUCAGAGGUCAAAGGUCAUGUGGUCUGGAGCUUGUAGGAGCUCGCACUGCCGAGGCAGAGUGGGACAGAGAAAGACGGGAAAGAGUCAGGUAUGUCAUGUAACGUCAUGUAUGUGCAAGACUUAAAACUGUUCUUCCUUUCAAACUGCUUUGUCUAAAAUUAGAUUUGAUUUUUAUUGUCAAAAAGAGGAUUUAAUCAAUAAAUCAACUGCUGUCUGUAAAUAUUUUCCUCUUAUUGUACGCUGUUACUGCAGAAAUAUGAUCAUACUGUGCACUCACAUUUCCACAGCAGGUCAUACUAAAAAGCUGAAAGUCACCGAUUUCUCCCUUUGUGCAGCUGUAUUUUGGAGUUGCAUUUGUUUUAUAUUUUGUGAAAAUUAUAAACAAGUCAUUAAUUCCAAAUUUAUUUAUUUAUUUCUCAAGCUAUUUGCAUGCAGUUUCAUUUUACUAAUGGACAAAGCACCUCUUAAUUUGAAAGAAUUCAUAAAAUAAGAAAGAAAUCUUUAUGAAUAAAGCCAAAACAAACAAACAAAAA